AAGACUUGCAGUCUAGUGGUAUCAGUAACCGUGAGAAUAUAAUUAAACAAUAAAUACGAAGUUAUAAUUCUUGUUUCAAUGUACGUGAGUGAAUAUAGAUGGAUCAAGUGUGAACAUUCAGACAUUAUUGUCAUUGAUGUUACUCAACAAUCAACUACUUUAAGAAAAUCCUAUCUAUUCAAAUGAGUUCCUCUGCUGCUGAACUCCCAUCCCCUCUAUUUUUGGUUGCUAUUAUCGCGAUUAUCAUGGUAUAUAUGGUAGUUUGUUACCUCGUUCUUGAUAUGAUUGAUCAACAAGUAGAUUCCCACGAUGAGAUAUCUCGAAAGGAUGCUUAUGACUCAGGAUUAUCAGUUGAAGAGUUGCAAGGAAUCAGUUGCUUCUACCUCGAAGGACAAGCUAAUUCAUCGAUGUGUGUCAUUUGCUUGGAUAGUCUAUGUGAAGCAGAAUUGUGCAGAAGUUUUCCUCCUUGUAACCAUGUGUUCCAUGCUCAAUGUCUUGAUCCUUGGUUAGCCAAAAAAACAACUUGUCCAACUUGUCGAACGCCUUUAAGACCAUAAUUUUCACUCUCAUCAGAGUAAGAAAUUUAACUGCAUCUUCUACAUUCAUAUGCUGUUUACUUGUAUUAUGUUUACUCAUAAGUUCAUAGUAUUCUCCAGCUUUUGUCACAACUAAAAUGACCUGUUUCAUGAUGUAAAUGAAAGAUAUGCAUUAUUUUUUCGCCUUUUUGAUUCUUAUAGUCAAUGAUGACACAUGAACAGAUGAAAUGUAUAGUUUUUGCAACGCCAAUUAUUACUACAACAUUCAACAGCAUGAACAUAUGCACAUCCAGAAUGUAGAGUCGGAUCCCUUUAUAAGUGUACAUAGUUCGAGCUGAAAGCAAUGGAACCAACAGAAAAUCGACCUACAUUUGAUUAAAAGACACAAAAACA